ACUAGUAUGUAGCUCUCUGCAACUCUCACAUGGUCGUCCACUGAAGGUAAGCAGGGCUUCACCUGGUCAGUACCUGGAUGGGAGACCACAUGGGAAAAGUUAGGUUGCUGCCAGAA
rnacentral:rRNA from 1 species